rnacentral:rRNA from 1 species
AUGCUCCACCAAUCCCUGCUGCUUCUUCCAGAGGCAGAGGCGGCGCCUCUCAUGCAUGGUGCUAAGGAUGUGAGGACACUCUGGCGCGACGAGUCAACCAGCCAACCGUCGCGGGGAGGAGGACGGUGUGCGAGCUGUCACCCUUCUCCUUCUCCCUGCUGCUUGUCCUCCUCGCCAGCCACCUCCUUCGCCCUGUCCUCCGCAUCCUCCCCCUCCACUCCUCCGCGAAGACCCCGAUGCCCUGCUCUUGCACGACGGCGACCUGCGCCCAAUCUGGAACCAUGGUGA